rnacentral:rRNA from 1 species
AAAAAGCGGAGGAAAAGAAACCAACAGGGAUUGCCUUAGUAGCGGCGAGUGAACAGGCAAGAGCUCAGAUUUGAAAGCCUUUCGGGGCAUUGUAUUCUGAAGCCUUGGUCCUGGGAAACCGAUGUCUAAGUCUUCUGGAAAGGAGCGCCAUGGAGGGUGAUAGCCCCGUACGACAUUGACCCCACUGUAGGACCUUGGCAUGGAGUCGAGUUGUUUGGGAAUGCAGCUCAAAUGGGUGGUAUGCUCCAUCUAAAGCUAAAUAUCUGCGAGAGACCGAUAGCGAACAAGUACUGUGAAGGAAAGAUGAAAAGAACUUUGAAAAGAGAGUGAAAAAGUACGUGAAAUUGUUGAAAUGGAAGGGUAGGCCGCUAACCACGUAGAGUCGUGUUUGGGGGGAAGAUAAAAGCUGAAGAAUGUAACUCCUUGGAGUAUUAUAGCUUCAGUCCAUAUUCCCACCCGAGCGCGAGGACUUAAGACUCUGCUAAAUGGUGGUCUACCACCCGUCUUGACC